rnacentral:rRNA from 1 species
CAGCAGCCGCGGGAAUACGAAGGGGGCUAGCGUUGUUCGGAAUCACUGGGCGUAAAGCGCACAUAGGCGGAUACUUAAGUCAGGGGUGAAAUCCCGGGGCUCAACCUCGGAACUGCCUUUGAUACUGGGUAUCUUGAGUCCGGGAGAGGUUGGUGGAACUCCGAGUGUAGAGGUGAAAUUCGUAGAUAUUCGGAAGAACACCAGUGGCGAAGGCGGCCAACUGGCCCGGUACUGACGCUGAGGUGCGAAAGCGUGGGGAGCAAACAGGAUUAGAUACCCGAGUAGUCCCUGUCUCUUAUAC